rnacentral:rRNA from 1 species
AGUCUGCAACUCGAGUGCAUGAAGCUGGAAUCGCUAGUAAUCGCGGAUCAGAAUGCCGCGGUGAAUACGUUCCCGGGUCUUGUACACACCGCCCGUCACACCAUGGGAGUCGGGAAUGCCCGAAGCCGGUGGCCCAAUCUGUAAAGAAGGGAGCCGUCGAAGGCAGGCCGGAUGACUGGGGUGAAGUCGUAACAAGGUACC